UACGGAGGAUCCAAGCGUUAUCCGGAAUCAUUGGGUUUAAAGGGUCCGUAGGCGGUUUGGUAAGUCAGUGGUGAAAGCCCAUCGCUUAACGAUGGAACGGCCAUUGAUACUGCCAGACUUGAAUUACUGGGAAGUAACUAGAAUAUGUAGUGUAGCGGUGAAAUGCUUAGAUAUUACAUGGAAUACCAAUUGCGAAGGCAGGUUACUACCAGUGGAUUGACGCUGAUUGGACGAAAAGCGUGGGGAGCGAACGAGGAU
rnacentral:rRNA from 1 species